ensembl:lncRNA
AUGCUCGCGGUCUGGGAGCUGCGGACACUUUCACCUCUUCAAUCCCCCCUCGUAAACUUGCGAGCCCCAGACCAGACGGCUGCUGCCGCCCUGUCCGACCCCCGCCGCACCUCCUCUCCCGCAGAAAACCUCUCCCACCUGCCCGCUGCUGCCCGCACACCACCACCUCCCCGGCCACCCCCGGACCCUCACCGCGGCAUCGGGGCGGCCGCCACCGCUAGAGCCGCCCAGCCCCGCCUCUUCCCCGCCCGCCGCCCCCUCCCCAAUCCGCCGCCGCUCCCGGGCUCGGCCACCCCCCCGGCUCCGGCCCCGGCCCUGCCCCCGGGCGCGCCCGCCGCGCUCAGCUGGCAGCCGGCUGCCGAGGCGCAGGGGCGGCGGUGCCAUCAGCUGCGGGAGCACGGCUCGGCUUGGCAAGCGGCUCACGCAGUCGCAGGGAAGAGGAGCAGCUGGGAGCGCGGCCGCCGCGGAGGACCGGCACGUCCUCGUUCGCGUCCCUGUUCCGCGAGGAGGGCUCCGCCGAUCCACCGCCCCCUCCUCCGGGAGCCGCCGGGGGAGGGCUCGGACGCGAAGUUGCAGCCAGCCCGGGGGAAAAGUAGCGGCAAGGCGGAAGGGGCCGGAGCCGAGCCCAGCCCAGCCCAGCCGAGCCGAGCCGAGAGGGGCCGACGCAGCGCGCCGCCGCCCGCCGCCCCCCGGACGGGGCUGACCCAGCGCCCCCGGCCGCGCUCACCGGGUCCCCCGCCUCGUCCCGGAACCAGCAUCGAGGGAGAGGGGACGCUGCUGGACGCCGCUGCGGAAAGAACCAACAUGCAAAGUGGAAGGAAAACCGAAACUGCUCUUUUAGCAAAAAAAUACUGGCUUUCAGCCCCUUUCAUAUGUUUUCAUUUCACUUCAUAAUGGGAGGAGCACAAUUCUCUGAAUCAUUGAGGCAAAAUUUGGGCAUCAUUGGCUGAAGAUAAGAUGAAAGAAGACUUGAAAAUGUGUCGAUAUUCUAUGACUAUUAAUUCAGACAAACCUUUCGCAAAGGGGAAUAGUGGUUAAAAUUACCGCAGUCUCAUCUAAAGGAGCUAAUGAAGAAUUUCUCUUCGUUUUUUCUUUCUUCCCUUUCUCCCAUGAGUCCAAAAAGAGCACGAUGGAAAGAGUGUGUAUACAAAUCAAGAUAAGAGGAAGGCUGAAGAAAGUAGCUUCAGUUUUUAAGUGUGUUUUCCAAGUGCUGUAAUUUCCCUAAAUAAUCAAAUUCAACCCAUUGUUUUGAAUAAAUUAUAUCUUUUUUGUGAUCAGUGAAGGGUUUUUUUUUUUUUUUUUGGUCAGCUAUAGGAGUGGAAUUUGACCUGAUUGAAAGUAUUAACACAGAAAAUGUAUGGCUCUGAUUCCUGUUUUCAAAUCAAAGUUUCCAAGUUAUCAAAGAAUAGUGUUUUGGUUUCUUUCAGUUUCUGACUGUGUAUUGUCAACCUGCAUUUUGUAUGUUUAUCUUGGAGACUUUACUUUCUCCCAUUUUAAUGCUUAUACUGACUGUAGUGUUGUACUUGAGAAAAGUGUGAACAGGCAAGGCACCUGAGAUUUAAGUUCUCAACAGCCUCAUUAUUUCAGUGUUGUAGCUCAAAUUACGAGUAAUCUGAGUAUCUGUUAGAAUGUGCAGUAAACACUAAGUCUUUUCUUUGAAGAAAAAAAUGCCUUAAGAUGCUCAUGCUUGUGCUAACUGGAUCAAAGCUUGAUAUCUGAACAUCAUGUUUUGUUAGGAAGUGCAUGCCUGGGGAA